rnacentral:rRNA from 1 species
GACGAAGGUGGCAAGCGUUGUUCGGUAUCACUGGGCUUAAAGCGUGUGUAGGCGGAAGCGUAAGCGUUUUGUGAAAUCCCUCGGCUUAACCGAGGAAUUGCUUGACGAACUGCGUUUCUUGAGGCAGGUAGGGGUGCGCAGAACUCUUGGUGGAGCGGUGGAAUGCGUAGAUAUCAAGAGGAAUGCCGGUGGAGAAGUCGGUGCACUGGGCCUGACCUGACGCUGAGACACGAAAGCGUGGGGAGCGAACGGGAUUAGAUACCCCGGUAGUCCACGCCGUAAACGAUGUCUACUAGGUUGUGGCGGUUCUGACGCCGGCACAGCCGAAGCUAAAGUGUUAAGUAGACCGCCUGGGGAGUACGGUCGCAAGGCUAAA